rnacentral:rRNA from 1 species
AUACGGAGGAUGCGAGCGUUAUCCGGAUUUAUUGGGUUUAAAGGGUGCGCAGGCGGCUUGUCAAGUCAGCGGUCAAAUUUCGGCGCUCAACGCCGUACCGCCGUUGAAACUGGCUGGCUGGAGUGCGUGGGAGGAUGGCGGAAUGCGCGGUGUAGCGGUGAAAUGCAUAGAUAUCGCGCAGAACCCCGAUUGCGAAGGCAGCUGUCCAUCACGCCACUGACGCUCAUGCACGAAAGCGUGGGUAUCGAACAGGAUUAGAUACCCUGGUAGUCCACGCGGUAAACGAUGAUAACUAGUUAUCCGGCUAAAUUGGUAGCUGGGUGACCGAGCGAAAGCGUUAAGUUAUCCACCUGGGGAGUACGCCGGCAACGGUGAAACUCAAAUGAAUUGACGGGG